GUUGGCCUCCCGGGCGGCGAUAGGUUGUGAACCCGGUCAGGUCCGGAAGGAAGCAGCCGCAACAUCCGAAUCGGGUGUCCGGGUCAGGCUGGCUGG
rnacentral:SRP_RNA from 1 species